UAGAAUGCAAGUCGAACGGACAGUACCUUCGGGUGCUGUUAGUGGCGAACGGUCGCGUAACACGUAGGCAACCUGCCCGAAAGUGGGGGACAACAGCCCGAAAGGGUUGCUAAUACCGCAUGUGGUCAUUUCCUCGCAUGAGGAGACGACUAAAGGAUUUAUUCGCUUUCGGAUGGGCUUGCGGCCUAUCAGGUAGUUGGUGGGGUAACGGCCUACCAAGCCGAUGACGGGUAGCUGGUCUGAGAGGAUGGUCAGCCGGAUUGGGACUGAGAUACGGCCCAGACUCCUACGGGGGGCAGCAAUUAGGAAUCUUGCACAAUGGGGGAAACCCUGAUGCAGCGACGCCGCGUGCGGGAUGAAGGCCUUCGGGUCGUAAACCGCUUUUGUUGGGGAAGAAUACUGACGGUACCCAACGAAUAAGCCCCGGCUAACUACGUGCCAGCAGCCGCGGUAAUACGUAGGGGGCGAGCGUUGUCCGAAGUUACUGGGCGUAAAGCGCGCGUAGGCGGUCCAUUUAGUCUGGGGUGAAAGGUUCAGCGCUCAACGUGAACAGUGCCUUGGAUACUGGUGGACUUGAGUGUCGGAGAGGGAAGCGGAAUUCCUGGUGUAGCGGUGAAAUGCGUAGAUAUCAGGAGGAACACCGAUGGCGAAGGCAGCUUCCUGGCCGAAAACUGACGCUGAGGUGCGAAAGCGUGGGGAGCGAACGGGAUUAGAUACCCCGGUAGUCCACGCCGUAAACGAUGAGUGCCAGGUGUCCGGGGUAUCGACCCCCUGGGUGCCGACGUUAACAUAUUAAGCACUCCGCCUGGGGAGUACGGCCGCAAGGUUGAAACUCAAAGGAAUUGACGGGGGCCCGCACAAGCGGUGG
rnacentral:rRNA from 1 species